UACAGAGGCCUCGAGCGUUAGGCGGAAUCACUGGGCUUAAAGCGUGUGUAGGCGGACUUCUAAGUACCUUGUGAAAUCCCACGGCUUAACCUGGGAACUGCAUUUGUGACUGCAUGGCUGGAGUGCGGCAGAGGGGGAUGGAAUUCCGCGUGUAGCAGUGAAAUGCGUAGAUAUGCGGAGGAACACCGAUGGCGAAGGCAAUCCCCUGGGCCUGCACUGACGCUCAUGCACGAAAGCGUGGGGAGCAAACAGG
rnacentral:rRNA from 1 species